CCUACGGGCGACAGCAGUGAGGAAUAUUGGUCAAUGGACGCAAGUCUGAACCAGCCAUGCCGCGUGCAGGAAGACUGCUCUAUGAGUUGUAAACUGCUUUUGUACGAGGGUAAACUCAGAUACGCCUAUUUGUCUGCAAGUACCGUACGAAUAAGGAUCGGCUAACUCCGUGCCAGCAGCCGCGGUAAUACGGAGGAUUCAAGCGUUAUCCGGAUUUAUUGGGUUUAAAGGGUGCGUAGGCGGUCGGAUAAGUUAGAGGUGAAAUCCCGAGGCUCAACUUUGGAAUUGCCUCUGAUACUGGUAGGCUAGAGAGUAGUAGCGGUAGGCGGAAUGUGUGGUGUAGCGGUGAAAUGCUUAGAGAUCAUACAGAACACCGAUUGCGAAGGCAGCUUACCAAGCUACUACUGACGUUGAGGCACGAAAGCGUGGGGAGCAAACAGGAUUAGAUACCCGAGUAGUC
rnacentral:rRNA from 1 species